AAACACAAUAUAGAUAACACCUUGAAUUGGAACACAUGUAAGGAAUAUUUUUUCUCCUGUUCUUAGAUACUUAAUACGCAUCCCCCAGCCAAGCACUACCAAAAGGUUUCUUAGACCUGAAAAUAUGAGAAAGAUGGUUAUACUAACACUAGUUCACUCAACUGUCAAUUGAAAUUUUAUCCUGGUUGGCAAGCUCUACAAUUGGUUAUAUCUCUUUCGAUAUUGAUAUUUGGUGCCUAUUAUCUCUCUACUUUACUUUGAAAUAAGAGUCAUUUAAAGCGCAUAAAUUAAGGAAAUCUUUCUUGGCAACAGAGCAUGAUGCAGAACAGACUUGAACCUAUGUUGAUCGGAUUAAACCGAUUUAGUUCAUCAAGUUGUUAGGGAAGUUGUUAAUUUGGUAGAGAUUUUAUAUAAAAGUUGUUAAUUUUAUUUUUAGGAUUUUAUCUAGAAGUUGUUAUGAAGGUUGUUAAUUUGGUAGAGAUUUUAUUGUUAGGAUUUUGUUUUGAGCUUAUCACUGUCAGGAAAGCUCUAUAAAUAUUCUAUGCAUUGGAUGAUAAUUAAUCAAUGAAGAAGAAUGUUAUUUUUUAAAAUAAGAUGUGUUCUCUAAUUUUCCUUCGCAUUUAUGCGUCGACUGGAGCGAGUCCGUAGGGAGUGAGUCCCUUAUCUCUAUCCUUUCCUUUGCAAUUUCUUCUCCGACUUGAAGUCCAGCACCAUCGACGCCAUCUACUGAUAGCAGCGCCGGCUCCAUCCGCACUUCCUUGACAUCCCAUUAUUGUUGCCGUCGCCAAGUGUGUCCACCGUUGUUGUCUUCUACCUUUUCUUUAACUUUUAUUUAUUUUUUUUAAUUACGAAAAUUUCUAAAAAAAGACUUUCAAAAUUUCAAAACGCUUCAAAAAUUAUAAAUUAUAUUCUAGAGCCCUCUAAAAACGUAGGACCCUAUAUCCCGUCCUACGUUAGAUUUGGUAUCAGAGUUUAGGCUAUUUGACGGCUCUAUUUCGCCAAAAGUUUUGGACUUGUGGACGAAAACAAGGUGGAAAUUAAAAAAAAAAGGUGAAAAAAAUAUUGUAAAAAGAGUGGAGUGAAAAAAAAAAAAGUUGAAAGAAAAGUUUGUGGAGAAAAAAAAAUGGGGAGUGUGUAAAAGAAAAAAAGGAAAAAAAAAUAUUAUGGAUGCAAAAGAAUGUCUUAAAAAAGUUUUUCAAAAGUAUGGUAGAAGAAAAGGAAUUCAUAUUGAGUCUUUAAAAGAAAUAUGCGAGAUGACAGGAGUAGAGUUUGAUGAAUGGUUGUACGAUCAGAGGUCAUAUUUUGAGAGAAAAAGAAAUGUUAUUCGGAUGGAAAUACUAAAUGACUUGAGAUGGUGGUAUAGACAAAGGCAAAUAUCUUAUCUUGAUUUUAACAUAAUAUUUUUGGAGGAAGAAGAAAAAAGGUUGAAUGAUAUUGAAAAUGGUGUUAAAAUUGCUGAAGAUGAUUUUCGAUGGAUGGGUAAGGUCAGAGAUGAGUAUCGAUGGAUCCAACUAAAAGUUCAACUGGAAACCCUAGUUGCUCAACAGAGUACACAACCUAUAGCACAGUUGGAAGUCGACAAUUCUGAUCUAGUUCCAUCCACACCAUUCGAUUGCCAAGAAGUUCCAGAUGUGGCCGAGCCCGAGUUAGAUUUAGAAAAUCCAGAGUUGAUUCAUGAAGAUAAGGUAAAUCAGUGUGUUGAGGAGGUAAGAUUACAGAUCAAGUUACCCUUAUUGCCCCAGCAAUAUGAGUCCACUAUACUAGAGCUUCAAAUUGCAUCGAAAGCAUAUUUCUUAUGGGUAUCAAACCUUACGAAAUCUCAUGAACUUGUCAGUUGUUCUUCCUACUUCAAUACCAAACCGGAAGCUCAGAUGAUACAAGUGGUUCGACAUGCAGGCAUUGGGUUGCAUCACUUUAUUCUACACACUUGGUUGUUUCCUAUCUCCUUACAAAUCCAACUAAUCUCGAGGACGAGAUCCUGCGCAGCAGAAGCGAAUGAUGCAGAACAGACUUGAACCUAUGUUGAUCGGAUUAAACCGAUUUAGUUCAUCAAGUUGUUAGGGAAGUUGUUAAUUUGGUAGAGAUUUAUAUAAAAGUUGUUAAUUUUAUUGUUAGGAUUUUAUCUAGAAGUUGUUAUGAAGGUUGUUAAUUUGGUAGAGAUUUUAUUGUUAGGAUUUUGUUUUGAGCUUAUCACUGUCAGGAAAGCUCUAUAAAUAUUCUAUGCAUUGGACGAUAAUUAAUCAAUGAAGAAGAAUGUUAUUUUUUAAAAUGAGAUGUGUUCUCUAAUUUUCCUUCGCAUUUAUGCGUCGACCGGAGCGAGUCCGUAGGGAGCGAGUCCCUUAUCUUUAUCCUUUCCUUUGCAAUUUCUUCUCCGACUUGAAGUCUAGCACCAUCAACGCCAUCUACUGAUAGCAGCGCCGGCUCCAUCCGCACUUCCUUGACAUCCCAUUAUUGUUGCCGUCGCCAAGUGUGUCCACCGUCGUUGUCUUCUACCU
rnacentral:lncRNA from 1 species